rnacentral:rRNA from 1 species
GACGAACGCUGGCGGCGUGCCUAAUACAUGCAAGUCGAACGCUGAAGGAGGAGCUUGCUCUUCUGGAUGAGUUGCGAACGGGUGAGUAACGCGUAGGUAACCUGCCUGGUAGCGGGGGAUAACUCUUGGAAACGAUAGCUAAUACCGCAUAACAGUAGAUGUUGCAUGACAUUUACUUAAAAGGUGCAAUUGCAUCACUACCAGAUGGUCCUGCGUUGUAUUAGCUAGUUGGUGGGGUAACGGCUCACCAAGGCGACGAUACAUAGCCGACCUGAGAGGGGGAUCGGCCACACUGGGACUGGGACACGGCCCAGACGCCUACGGGAGGCAGCAGUAGGGAAUCUUCGGCAAUGGACGGAAGUCUGACCGAGCAACGCCGCGUGAGUGAAGAAGGUUUUCGGAUCGUAAAGCUCUGUUGUAAGAGAAGAACGAGUGUGAGAGUGGAAAGUUCACACUGUGACGGUAUCUUACCAGAAAGGGACGGCUAACUACGUG